rnacentral:rRNA from 1 species
UAAUACGGGGGGAGCAAGCGUUGUUCGGAUUUACUGGGCGUAAAGGGCGCGUAGGCGGCCGCCGCAAGUCACUUGUGAAAUCUCCGGGCUCAACUCGGAACGGUCAAGUGAUACUGCGGUGCUAGAGUGCGGAAGGGGCAACUGGAAUUCUUGGUGUAGCGGUGAAAUGCGUAGAUAUCAAGAGGAACACCUGCGGCGAAGGCGGGUUGCUGGGCCGACACUGACGCUGAGGCGCGAAAGCUAGGGGAGCGAACGGGAUUAGAUACCCCGGUAGUCCUAGCCUUAAACGAUGAAUGCUUGGUGUCCGGAGUUAGAUAGUCUCCGGGUGCCGUCGCUAACGCUUUUAGCAUUCCGCCUGGGGAGUACGGGCGCAAGACU